rnacentral:miRNA from 1 species
UGGAGUCACUACCAGUGCUGUG